CAUGGUGGAAUCGCAUCCAGG
rnacentral:miRNA from 1 species